GACGAACGCUGGCGGCGUGCCUAAUACAUGCAAGUCGAGCGCAGGAAAUCGACGGAACCCUUCGGGGGGAAGUCGACGGAAUGAGCGGCGGACGGGUGAGUAACACGUAAAGAACCUGCCCUCAGGUCUGGGAUAACCACGAGAAAUCGGGGCUAAUACCGGAUGGGUCAUCGGACCGCAUGGUCCGAGGAUGAAAGGCGCUUCGGCGUCGCCCGGGGAUGGCUUUGGGGUGCAUUAGCUAGUUGGGGGGGUAAUGGCCCACCAAGGCGACGAUGCAUAGCCGACCUGAGAGGGUGAUCGGCCACACUGGGACUGAGACACGGCCCAGACUCCUACGGGAGGCAGCAGUAGGGAAUCUUCCACAAUGGACGAAAGUCUGAUGGAGCAACGCCGCGUGAACGAUGAAGGCCUUCGGGUCGUAAAGUUCUGUUGUAAGGGAAGAACAAGUGCCGCAGGCAAUGGCGGCACCUUGACGGUACCUUGCGAGAAAGCCACGGCUAACUACGUGCCAGCCGCCGCAGUAA
rnacentral:rRNA from 1 species